UUAGGGAGCUACCAUUUGAUUUUUAUGGGGGGGGGGGCUAGGAUGAAAUUUGAAAAAAAUAGGCAGGACAGGAGUUUUGAGUAAAAAAAAGGCAGGAUGAGACAUUUGCAAAAAAAAAAGUCAGGACGACAAUUUAGGUAAAAAAAAAGUCAGGAUAGACUAAAAAAAAAAAGGCAGGACCGAACAGAGUGAAAAAUAAAAAGGCAGGACAGAGAUUACAGCUAAAAAAAAAAUGCAGGACAAAAUUUUUCAUCCUAGCCCCCCCAUAAAAAUCAAAUGGUAGCUCCCUUAC
rnacentral:lncRNA from 1 species